rnacentral:rRNA from 1 species
GACGAACGCUGGCGGCGUGCUUAACACAUGCAAGUCGAACGGAAAGGCCUCUUUCGUGGGGUACUCGAGUGGCGAACGGGUGAGUAACACGUGAGUAACCUGCCCUUGACUUUGGGAUAACUUCAGGAAACUGGGGCUAAUACCUGAUAGGAGCUCCUGCUGCAUGGUGGGGGUUGGAAAGUUUCGGCGGUUGGGGAUGGAUUCGCGGCUUAUCAGCUUGUUGGUGGGGUAGUGGCUUACCAAGGCUUUGACGGGUAGCCGGCCUGUGAGGGUGACCGGCGACAUUGGGACUGAGAUACGGCACAGACUCCUACGGGAGGCAGCAGUGGGGAAUCUUGAACGAUGGGUGGAAGCCUGAUGCAGCAGCGCCGUGUGCGGGAUGACGGCCUUCGGGUUGUAAAACGCUUUCGCUCGUGACGAAGCUUUGUGUGACGGUAGUGGGUAAAGAAGCACCGGCUAACUACGUG